CCUACGGGAGGCAGCAGUGGGGAAUCUUGCGCAAUGGGCGAAAGCCUGACGCAGCAACGCCGCGUGCGGGAAGAAGGCCCUAGGGUUGUAAACCGCUUUCAGUAGGAACGAAAAUGACGGUACCUGCAGAAGAAGGUGCGGCCAACUACGUGCCAGCAGCCGCGGUGACACGUAGGCACCAAGCGUUGUCCGGAUUUAUUGGGCGUAAAGAGCUCGUAGGCGGUUGAGUAAGUCGGGUGUGAAAACUCUGGGCUUAACCCAGAGCCGCCACUCGAUACUGCUGUGACUUGAGUUCGGUAGGGGAGCAGGGAAUUCCUAGUGUAGCGGUGAAAUGCGCAGAUAUUAGGAGGAACACCGGUGGCGAAGGCGCUGCUCUGGGCCGAUACUGACGCUGAGGAGCGAAAGCGUGGGUAGCAAACAGGAUUAGAUACCCUGGUAGUCCACGCCGUAAACGUUGGGCACUAGGUGUGGGUUCCAACCACGGAAUCCGCGCCGUCGCUAACGCAUUAAGUGCCCCGCCUGGGGAGUACGGCGGCAACGCUAAACUCAAAGGAAUUGACGG
rnacentral:rRNA from 1 species